AACGAACGCUGGCGGCAGGCCUAACACAUGCAAGUCGAACGCUCUAGCAAUAGAGAGUGGCGCACGGGUGCGUAACGCGUGGGAACGUACCUUCAGGUGCGGGACAACCCAGGGAAACUUGGGCUAAUACCGCAUAAUAUCUCCGGAUCAAAGAUUUAUCGCCUGAAGAUCGGCCCGCGUUGGAUUAGCUAGUUGGUGAGGUAAUGGCUCACCAAGGCUGCGANCCAUAGCUGGUCUGAGAGGAUGAUCAGCCACACUGGGACUGAGACACGGCCCAGACUCCUACGGGAGGCAGCAGUGAGGAAUAUUGGACAAUGGGGGAAACCCU
rnacentral:rRNA from 1 species